UACGUAGGAGGCGAGCGUUGUCCGGAGUUACUGGGCGUAAAGGGUGCGCAGGCGGUCGGGUGUGCCAGAUGUGAAAUCCCGAGGCUCAACCUCGGAACUGCGUCUGAAACUACUCGACUAGAGUACUGGAGAGGGUAACGGAAUUCACGGUGUAGCAGUGAAAUGCGUAGAUAUCGUGAGGAACACCAGAGGCGAAGGCGGUUACCUGGACAGUUACUGACGCUCAGGCACGAAAGCAUGGGGAGCAAACGGG
rnacentral:rRNA from 1 species